UGACCAAGAAAAGAAAACCAAGGAAGCCAUUAUCCAAGCAAGUUAUCUUCCUCUUUCGAUAAUCGUAGUUGGGGUCGGUGACGGUCCGUGGGAUAAAAUGAAGGAAUUUUGCAGUAUCCCCAACCGGGUCUUUAGUAACUUCGAUUUUGUGAAUUUCACGGAGAUCAUGUCGAAGGACGUGGAACAGAAUCGGAAGGAGGCCGAU